CAGGGAAUCUCGCGCAAUGGGCGAAAGCCUGACGCAGUGACGCCGCGUGUGGGAUGAAGGCUUUCGGGUUGUAAACCACUUUCAGCAGGGACGAUUAUGACGGUACCUGCAGAAGAAGCUCCGGCCAACUACGUGCCAGCAGCCGCGGUAAUACGUAGGGAGCGAGCGUUGUCCGGAUUUAUUGGGCGUAAAGAGCUCGUAGGUGGUUCAGCAAGUCGGGUGUGAAAGCUCUGGGCUCAACCCAGAGAUGCCACCCGAUACUGCUGUGACUAGAGUCAGGUAGGGGAUCGCGGAAUUCCAGGUGUAGCGGUGAAAUGCACAGAUAUCUGGAGGAACACCAGCGGCGAAGGCGGCGAUCUGGGCCUGUACUGACACUGAGGAGCGAAAGCGUGGGGAGCGAACAG
rnacentral:rRNA from 1 species